GACGAACGCUGGCGGCGUGCCUAAUACAUGCAAGUCGAACGCAGUGGGGACGGGUGAGUAACAUGUGGGUAACCUCCCCUCAGAGGGGAUACCACUUGGAAACAGGUGCUAAACCGAUAGUGAUGGAUGGACCAGUGGUGCAUUACCUAGUUGGUGGGGUAACGGCUAACCAAGGCCACGAUGCAUAGCUGACCUGAGAGGGUGACCGGCCACACUGGGACUGAGACACGGACCAGACUCCUACGGGAGGCAGCAGUAGGGAAUCUUGCGCAAUGGACGAAAGUCUGACCGAGCCACGCCGCGUGAGUGAAGAAGGUUUUCGGAUCGUAAAGCUCUGUUGGUAGAGAAGCGGUAUCUAACCAGAAAGCCACGGCUAACUACGUGCCAGCAGCCGCGGUAAUAC
rnacentral:rRNA from 1 species